CCUACGGGCGGCUGCAGUGGGGAAUAUUGGACAAUGGGCGAAAGCCUGAUCCAGCCAUGCCGCGUGUGUGAAGAAGGCCUUCGGGUUGUAAAGCACUUUCAGUGGGGAAGAAAGCCUUGGGGCUAAUACCCUCGAGGAAGGACAUCACCCACAGAAGAAGCACCGGCUAACUCCGUGCCAGCAGCCGCGGUAAUACGGAGGGUGCGAGCGUUAAUCGGAAUUACUGGGCGUAAAGCGCGCGUAGGCGGUCUGAUAAGCCGGUUGUGAAAUCCCCGGGCUCAACCUGGGAACGGCAUCCGGAACUGUCAGGCUAGAGUGCAGGAGAGGAAGGUAGAAUUCCCGGUGUAGCGGUGAAAUGCGUAGAGAUCUGGAGGAAUACCAGUGGCGAAGGCGGCCUUCUGGACUGACACUGACGCUGAGGUGCGAAAGCGUGGGUAGCAAACAGGAUUAGAUACCCCUGUAGUC
rnacentral:rRNA from 1 species